CUGUUUGUGAUCCCCAUUGGUCUAACUGAGAUAACAACAGGGGCUUUUUUGUGGGAACUUGAAAGUCUAGAUAAGUGCAACCCGUACUGCCUGAGGUAUGAGUUUUUCAAAGACUUCCUUCCAUUAUUUCCAUUAAAUUUAGAAGAAGUUUUUCCUUUCUUCACCUUCAGCCAACUCCAUGCUGCUGGAAGUCCAUCUGGCAGUGAGGAAACCCUUUAUUUCAAGGAGGAGGGUUGCUCCAUAAGUGUUCAGCUCCAUCCAAACCCCACAAGGUUUCCAGUGGACUGGAGAUGGAUAAGGAGUUUCCCAAAGCGCAGUACCUCAUUGAUGGUGGUAUCCAGUUUCACAACUUCCCGG